GGGUUCUGGUCCCUGAUUGGCCACAAAAUCCCAUACCUCUCUAGGCCUCAGUUUCCUCUUCUGCGUGAAGACGAAGUGGCGCACAAUCCUCAAGGACCUUCUCAGUCCCUAUUUGCAUCCAUCCUCUCGCCUCCGUGGAAGGACCCCUUACCUGUGCCUCUCAGGGGCUGCUGACUGAUCCCAGGGUUGCAGUAUGCCCCGCACCAGCAUCAUCUCUCUUGGAAAUCCCCUUCAGCUACAAGAGAGACAGAUGGUCCAGAUUCCCUCGCUUCCCAGCAGCCCAGCCUUCUUCCUUGGGAAUCAGGUUGGCAAGGAUGUAUGCCGUCAGAUGGCUUUCUGCUGAGUGACUCAGGAGGAGGAGGAAACCAGCCUGCCGCCUUCAGAGCAUUCACAGCCCAGGGAGCUGCUGCACCCCUCUGCUGAAUAGGGCUUGAAUAGACACCCGCCGCAGGCAGACAGGUCAGCAGGGAACGGACUGCAGAGGAAGAAGGGGGAAGAGAGCGGGAGGGGAGAGAGGAAUUGGAGGGGAGGAGGAGAAGCGGAGAGGAAGGGGAGAGGCAGGGAGGCAAGGAGGAGCCACUCAAGCCUCCUCACUCUACCCUCAAAUCCCUUUGCAAAGCCAUUAUCAAAAUUGAUUUUAAUAAAUGAAAGAUUUACCUGGGUCGAACA
rnacentral:lncRNA from 1 species